rnacentral:pre_miRNA from 1 species
AAUAAGUUCAUUUUCAGUUUUUAAUAUACGUUUGACUCUUCGUUUUAUUUGAUAUUUUUACGAUUAAUAUUUUUAGUGUUAUUAGAUGAUAAAACAUAAAUAGUACUUUAUGUGUGACUAAUUUUUUAAAGUAUUUCUUAGAAAUUUUUCAAAUAAGACGGGUGGUCAAACGUUGGACACAAAUUAAA